AGAGAAAAAGCCCUGUAUUUAUUGCUAUUGUUUGGCUUUUGGCUACAGACACAGGAACAUUGUAAUGGGAUCCAGAACUUGCAAACUGAACCACAAUGCACUGGGGAUUAACAAAGUUGCCAUCUGUAGACUGACACCAUAGGAAGGGAGGAACAUGUUAAUGAUACUCCAGUCAAAAGCAGUAAUCCUGCCC